rnacentral:misc_RNA from 1 species
UCAAACUUGGUCAUUUAGAGGAAGUAAAAGUCGUAACAAGGUUUCCGUAGGUGAACCUGCGGAAGGAUCAUUAACGAUCUGGAACGCGGCCGAGACCAUGUCCCGGCCUGCGGUCCACACACCCACACCCGUGCACGGCGCGCGCCGGGCGACGCCCGUCCCCCCCCGGGGGGUCGCGGACGACCCCGGCGCUUUUCACGAAAGCCCUUGUAUUUCCAUGGAUGUCUAUUGCGACGACGCAACCUAAAUACAACUUUUAACAACGGAUCUCUUGGUUCUCGCAUCGAUGAAGAACGCAGC